ensembl:lncRNA
AACAAAAGCUGCCUGAGAGUUUACAGGUUUUUAUGUUGGAUUUCUUCAGUAAUUUAAUGAGAGUUAUCAGCAAUAAUCAAGUGUUCAUUUGAUGAACUUCAUUUCCUAAAACAUCCAGAAUUGGAGCUCAUAUCUUUGGCAGCUGUAAAGUUUCUGCUACUUCAAAGUUCACAACACAAUGAAUUAAUUCCUAAAACACUCUCAAUGCUGGAGAGCGUUUGUGAUGCUGAAGCAGUGAUCAGUUUUUCUGUUUCUUCUCUGGAGAUGCACAAUGAGGGACGUCUGCAGAGACUGAGAAAGAGUCUCACCACAUCCUGACAUGAGGAAAAAGACUUUAUUGAAGACUACAAUGAGAAAAACUAUCAGACAGCAGACAGCUGCAUUCAAGUCUGUAGCUGCUGAAUUCAUGGAUGAAUCAUCUGGCACUAGAGAAGAAGACCAUCAAACAUCCACGUCAGCUGAUGGAGGUCCAAGAGUCUCACCAAACAAACAACCUACAGAGUGAAGACCUCAAAUCUGAUUGGACGGCUUCCUAUUCAGCCACGUGUGAACAAAUGCCUCUAAGCUGAUUUGUUUUCUAAAAUAAAUCUAGUUUGAG